UGUUUGGCAUCAGUGCUGUUUUUGGUUUUUUUAUUUUUUACCCCCAAAACAAAACAAAACAGUGUUUGGUAAAAUAGCUUAAAAAACAACUUUUUAUCUAUUUUGUAAAAAUUACAACGAUAAACCUAAAACACCUCAAAGCCGUUUUAGAGGUUUUGUUUUUUUUUCCCCCUAUCAAAGCGUCGUAGUACUCCGUAUCUCCUUCACAUAGUAUCUCAUCUUUCUUCCUCAAACCUUAAUUCUCAAGAUUCAAGGAGCAAGCAAUUACAGGUAUAGAGCGUUCUCCUCUCUCUUUUCUUUUAAUUUCUGUAUAAUCACCACGUUUUCCCCUGUUUUUCUUUUUCAAUUUACAAAUUUAUUGAUGCUUUUGUUGCUUAAAAAAUUUGGUUGUAUUCAAUUUCUCUGAUCAAAAUUGGUGAUCUUUGUUCGUUAUUUUUCUUAAUUUUAAUCGUUCUUUGUCUAAUUUGUAUAUAAUUUAUUUUAGGUUUUCAUAUUUGGGGAUUUUUUUUUUCUGAAAAAUACGAGUGCAGUGUUGAUUAAUUGAAAAAUUGUUAUAAUCAACACUCGUAUUGAUUGAAUUUUCUAUGAUUCUAAUUCUAAUUCUUAGUUGCCCUUAUCAUGAUGUUAAUACUACGUAUGUUUUAGUUAAUUCAAGGAAGGAAGUCUAAGCUAAUUAUCUCAUAAUAUGUGUUCAAUAUAUUUAAUAUUUUGGGAAUUUGUUGUUCAGGAAGUAGGAAGUAUGAAUUAUGCUUGUAAUGUAAUCAAUUUUGAAAAUUUUGGGAAGUCUACCUAUGGUUUUGGGUUGUCUGGGAUGGAUAGCAUGUUAGAUCAUUUUUUUUUAUCAAACAUUUUUCUACUCUAUGCUCUUAAUACCUUGUGGCAAGUCUUGGCUCCCAGAAACUUACUUUAUACUUGGACAGUAUGUAUGAAUUUGAAUAAGAAUGUGAGCUAUGUAACAACUAAUAACAUAAGUUUACGUGAUGUGUCAAUUUGCUGUAAUAUGUAGUGGCAAUCUCAGCCUAGUUGACUUGGAAGUAUUAUGAGUCUAUCACCCUGUCUUCUAUCUGCAUGUCUUUUUUGCUUGUUCCUUCUUUUUGGCUUAGAAAUCAGAAACCUGCACUUUAGAGCAUAACUGUUCUAAAUCUUAAAAUAAACUGGUCGCUGAGUCAUUUUUUUUUAUGGAAUUAACACUUUGGCAGGGUAUUAUGUAUUUGUGCUUAUGAAAUUAGGUUAAUUGGUAUUAGAAAGCUAUUACAAUUUUGGAGCUUCAGUAAUUUGUAAACAUGGAAGUUUAGUGUGUUUUUCUUAGAGUACUAGUGUGGAUUGUUGUAUUUUACACCCCUUUCUUAUUUAGUGGAGGAGUUUCAUUUGUGGUAUAGUUUAUCAGAGUUAUAUGCCAAGGUAGCUUAUAUAGAAUCAAUUAUUUAUGAAGUUUGUAUGUUUAACAUAAUGGUAAUGGGAGACAAAUGGAUAUGUUGUGCUCUUGUUUUUCUAGUUGCUGCACAUUGGUUGUUUAGUUGAAUUAGAUGAUUAUUAUGUCUAAUAGUGAAUUACUUUAUAGAUGUCAAAUUUGAAAAAUAAUGAGUGCGAAGAUGAAGUUGUUGUUGAGAUUGAAUCUACUAGAGUAGUUGGAGUAUGGGAUGAAAAUAUUGAAUCUUACCUUAUAAGCUUGAUAGAGGAGGAGGUAAAAAAAGGAAAUAUACCAACAACCACUCUAACCUAGCAAGCUUGGAGGCUUAUCAAGCAAAACUAAAGGAGAAGACAAAAAAGAAUUAUAGUCAAGAGCAACUUAAGAACAAAUAUAAUCAACUAAGACAAAGAUGGAAGGAAUUUAGUAAACUAGUACAAGAAACUGGAAUGGGAUACAAUGCUAUGACUUUUCAACUUUCUGCUGAGGAUGCUGUAUGGAAAAAUUUGUAUGAGAAACAUAAGUCUGCCAAAACUUUUAGAAAGAAGGGAUGUAAGCAUUAUGAUAAAUUAUGCACAAUUUAUGGAGAUACAACCGCUACUGGUGCUAGUUCACAUCCUUCUACUAAAAGCACUUUUGAGAUUGAGGAUGAAGAUGACACAGAUGGAGAAGGGGGUGACUCAAGAAAACAAUGUGAAGAGGGUCCUAAAAACAAAAAAAAAUCAAGCCUAAUGUCAAUCGUAAGAAACUUAGAGAAAGUGUUAAUGUAGCAAUGGCGGAUGCCUUGGUUACAAUGAGUGAAAAUUCCAAGAAAAAACUUGAACUUAUCGAGAAAAAAUUAAUGGAAAUGAUGAAGGUGGGCAUCAGUCCAAUGAGGAUCAUGAUUUGCUCAUGGAAUGUGUAGAUGCACUAAAUGCACUUGAGGGAAUUGAUGGAGCUUCAUUUACAUGAUGAUCCAUUGUGGAGGAAAAUGUUUCUUAGAUUUCCAAAUGAUAGGAAGAUAGAUUUUGUGCUCAACCUUUAAGCAUUAUCUCAUUAGUACAAAUUAUUUUUCCCUUCAAUAACGCAUGUUUGAGUGUUUAAACUCAAUUUAGAUCUUGUCAUAAGUAUGAUUUUUUUUUUUUUGGAUUUUGUAUUUGGGUUUGAUUUAAUAAGAGUAAUAAUGGUGAUCUUAUUCUA